AUGAAUUGACAUAUUAACAGUGUUUCUCAUGGGGGCCCAGUGUGCAAUGGCUGCAAACAGUAGCCUCCUUGGUAGUGUAUGCAGCCUAUUGAUUGUAUGGGUUGCCCUAAGAGACCUUGGAGACAGCC
ensembl:snoRNA SNORA70 Small nucleolar RNA SNORA70